ensembl:rRNA 5S_rRNA 5S ribosomal RNA
GCUUACGGCCAUACCAGCCCAAGAACGCACGGUCUCGUCUGAUCUCGGAAGCUAAGAAGGCUUGGGCCUGGUUAGUACUUGGAUGGGAGACCUCCUGGGAAUACCAGGUGCUGUAAGCU